UACGUAGGGUGCAAGCGUUAAUCGGAAUUACUGGGCGUAAAGCGUGCGUAGGUGGUUUGUUAAGUCUGUUGUGAAAGCCCCGGGCUCAACCUGGGAAUGGCAAUGGAUACUGGCAAGCUAGAGUGCGGUAGAGGGUAGUGGAAUUCCCGGUGUAGCGGUGAAAUGCGUAGAGAUCGGGAGGAACACCAGUGGCGAAGGCGGGUCUCUGGGCAGUAACUGACGCUGAGGAGCGAAAGCGUGGGGAGCGAACAGG
rnacentral:rRNA from 1 species